rfam:Ictidomys tridecemlineatus contig067171, whole genome shotgun sequence.
AAGACUAUACUUUCAGGGAUCAUUUCUAUAGUUAGUUACUAGAAAAUUCAGUACACAAUGGAGUAUUAUUCAUCAAUGGGAAAACAAUGGG